AACGUAGGAGACAAACGUUAUCCGGAGUUACUGGGCGUAAAGGGCGUGUAGGCGGUUUGUUAAGUCUGGCGUGAAAGCUCUCGGCUAAACCGGGAGAGGUCGUUGGAUACUGGCAAACUAGAGGACGGUAGAGGCGUGUGGAAUUCCGGGUGUAGUGGUGAAAUGCGUAGAGAUCCGGAGGAACACCAGUGGCGAAGGCGACACGCUGGGCCGUACCUGACGCUAAAGCGCGACAGCAUGGGGAGCGAACGGG
rnacentral:rRNA from 1 species